AAAUUGAAGAGUUUGAUCAUGGCUCAGAUUGAACGCUGGCGGCAGGCCUAACACAUGCAAGUCGAACGGUAACAGGAAGAAGCUUGCUUCUUUGCUGACGAGUGGCGGACGGGUGAGUAAUGUCUGGGAAACUGCCUGAUGGAGGGGGAUAACUACUGGAAACGGUAGCUAAUACCGCAUAACGUCGCAAGACCAAAGAGGGGGACCUUCGGGCCUCUUGCCAUCGGAUGUGCCCAGAUGGGAUUAGCUAGUAGGUGAGGUAACGGCUCACCUAGGCGACGAUCCCUAGCUGGUCUGAGAGGAUGACCAGCCACACUGGAACUGAGACACGGUCCAGACUCCUACGGGAGGCAGCAGUGGGGAAUAUUGCACAAUGGGCGCAAGCCUGAUGCAGCCAUGCCGCGUGUAUGAAGAAGGCCUUCGGGUUGUAAAGUACUUUCAGCGGGGAGGAAGGGAGUAAAGUUAAUACCUUU
rnacentral:rRNA from 1 species